GAUGAACGCUGGCGGCGUGCCUAAUACAUGCAAGUCGAGCGAACAGACGAGGAGCUUGCUCCUCUGACGUUAGCGGCGGACGGGUGAGUAACACGUGGAUAACCUACCUAUAAGACUGGGAUAACUUCGGGAAACCGGAGCUAAUACCGGAUAAUAUAUUGAACCGCAUGGUUCAAUAGUGAAAGACGGUUUUGCUGUCACUUAUAGAUGGAUCCGCGCCGCAUUAGCUAGUUGGUAAGGUAACGGCUUACCAAGGCAACGAUGCGUAGCCGACCUGAGAGGGUGAUCGGCCACACUGGAACUGAGACACGGUCCAGACUCCUACGGGAGGCAGCAGUAGGGAAUCUUCCGCAGUGGGCGAAAGCCUGACGGAGCAACGCCGCGCGAGUGAUGAAGGUCUUCGGAUCAUAAAACUCUGUUAUUAGGGAAGAACAAAUGUGUAAGUAACUAUGCACGUCUUGACGGUACCAAAUCAGAGAGCCACGGCUAACUACGU
rnacentral:rRNA from 1 species